CACACCCGGUCCCGCGACCUUUGCGUUGGAAAAUGUAGGCGUGAUUUCCAGCUUUUGGAAGCCCCGGUGCUUUACGAAAUCACGGUAGCCGGAGAGCCAUGGAGAUGGAACAGUUGACCUUCCGAGAUGUGGCUGUUGACUUCUCUCCGGAUGAGUGGGAAUGCCUGGACCCUCCUCAGCAGAGGCUGUACAGGGACGUGAUGGUAGAGAACUACAGAAACCUGGUCUCUGUGGGUGAGGACAGCAUCCCUGCAGAGCUCCCAGCACACUGUCACCAUUUCAUGUCUUUCCUUUCAGAAAUGUCUGCUGUACCCUGUGCUUUUGAUAAGCAAUACAAACGUGUGCUUUAAAGAACAGUUGUGGGGU
rnacentral:lncRNA from 1 species